rnacentral:rRNA from 1 species
UACGUAGGGUGCAAGCGUUGUCCGGAAUUAUUGGGCGUAAAGAGCUCGUAGGCGGUUUGUCGCGUCUGCUGUGAAAACUCGGGGCUUAACCCCGGGCCUGCAGUGGGUACGGGCAGACUAGAGUGCGGUAGGGGAGACUGGAAUUCCUGGUGUAGCGGUGAAAUGCGCAGAUAUCAGGAGGAACACCGGUGGCGAAGGCGGGCAUCUGGCGGCACUGACUCGUGAGGAGCGAAAGCGUGGGGAGCAACAGG